rnacentral:rRNA from 1 species
UACGGAGGGUGCAAACGUUGCUCGGAAUCAUUGGGCGUAAAGCGCACGUAGGCGGUCUCUCAAGUCGAGUGUGAAAGCCCUCGGCUCAACCGAGGAAGUGCAUUCGAAACUGGGAGACUUGAGUACCGGAGAGGAUGGCGGAAUUCCCGGUGUAGAGGUGAAAUUCGUAGAUAUCGGGAGGAACACCAGCGGCGAAGGCGGCCAUCUGGACGGAUACUGACGCUGAGGUGCGAAAGCGUGGGGAGCAAACAGG